CUUACAGCUGGGAACUGAAAGAUGAGAAGCAGCACUGACCAGGCCUGCAAGCUGAGAAGUGUACAAUCCUCACAACAAGGAGUGAUUGGCAAUCAGGUGCAGAACUAAGCUAUUUCUUUCACCACCACAGUCCUUCCAAAAUGUUCCCAACUGGCAUCAGAUAUUCUCAUCCUGACCAGUGAGACAACCCAAUGAAAACUGGUGACUCAGAAAGGGUCUUGAAAUGGCUUCAGUGAUCAGAACAUUCUUCUGCUUAAGAACCUAAAGGGGCCAGUGAAAGGAUGCUUUUGAUUUGUAUUUCAUUUAGAAUGGUCCAUACUCAACCAAGUGUACUCCAAGGAUUUCCAUGGGGCCUCAGAGGCUUGAAGUGGGGAAAAGCAAGACAAAGACAACAACAAAACUUUCUCGCUGCUUGCCUUAUCAUACUGGGAAAAUGCCGGCUACUUGGGGAAAGUCUUUCUUUGAGAAGUUGGUGAACUGAGAAAAAAAUGGAUAGAAUUAGAACAAAACAAUUUCACUGGAUUCUAAGUCUAUUUAAACUACAGUAGUAAAUCAAAACCAUACCUCUUUCUCAUUACUCAUGGCCCGAUAGUAGAGCCUCCUAAAUGCUUAUUAAAGCAAAAGCAAGAAGUGUUUCAUUUCUAAAUACAUUCACAGGAAUCCCCAACAAGGUGGUUGCUUCUUUCUAACUGUUGUUUGUUUUAUGCUUGUUUCUCUUCUUGAAAGAGUUAUCAUGAAACGGAAAGGCUUAAAAGGGGGGUGGGGGUGGGGGUGAGGGUCCAAAUAGGCUCUAAUGAGGAAGAAGGAAAUAAAAGUCAAAUUCUC
rnacentral:lncRNA from 1 species